rnacentral:rRNA from 1 species
ACGGCCAUAAAAUGCUGAAUAUACCGGUUCUCGUUAGAUCACCGAAGUCAAGCAUCAUUGGGCGCAGUCAGUACUUGGGUGGGUGACCACCUGGGAACACCGCGUGCCGUU